rnacentral:rRNA from 1 species
GACGAACGCUGGCGGCGUGCUUAACACAUGCAAGUCGAACGGAAAGGCCCUGCUUUUGUGGGGUGCUCGAGUGGCGAACGGGUGAGUAACACGUGAGUAACCUGCCCUUGACUUUGGGAUAACUUCAGGAAACUGGGGCUAAUACCGGAUAGGAGCUCCUGCUGCAUGGUGGGGGUUGGAAAGUUUCGGCGGUUGGGGAUGGACUCGCGGCUUAUCAGCUUGUUGGUGGGGUAGUGGCUUACCAAGGCUUUGACGGGUAGCCGGCCUGAGAGGGUGACCGGCCACAUUGGGACUGAGAUACGGCCCAGACUCCUACGGGAGGCAGCAGUGGGGAAUAUUGCACAGUGGGCGGAAGCCUGAUGCAGCGACGCCGCGUGCGGGAUGACGGCCUUCGGGUUGUAAACCGCUUUCACCUGUGACGAAGCGUGAGUGACGGUAAUGGGUAAAGAAGCACCGGCUAACUACGUG